UACAGAAGAUCUGGUUUCCCCACCAUGGCUCACACCCUGCUUCUCUUCACCAUCCUAAUCUCUGCUGGUCCUAGUCUCCAGAAACUGCAGUCCCUGAAGUCCUCAGAGGUGGUGUCUCCAGGUGGGACCGUCACCAUCUCUUGCCGGCAGAGCAGUGGAGCCGUCUCUGAUGGCAACUACCCUUGGUGGGCCCAACAAAAACAGGGGAAUGCUCCACGUGCACUGAUUUAUGCUACCAGCAGCAGACCAUCUGGGGUCCCAGGUCGUUUCAGUGGAUCAAGGUCAGGGGACACAAUGUCCCUAACUAUCACGGGGGCCAUGGUUGAAGAUGAAGCUGACUAUUACUGUGUUGCCUGGAUUGGGAGUGAGUGGCACAGCAGUGCAUUCAGAUGGGGAAGAACAGCUACUAAGGAGGAUGGUGAGAAGCAGCAGGUUGAUGGUGGUGGCAGGUAA